rnacentral:rRNA from 1 species
AUACGUAGGUGGCAAGCGUUGUCCGGAAUUAUUGGGCGUAAAGCGCGCGCAGGCGGUCCUUUAAGUCUGAUGUGAAAUCUUGCGGCUCAACCGCAAGCGGCCAUUGGAAACUGGGGGACUUGAGUGCAGGAGAGGGAAGUGGAAUUCCACGUGUAGCGGUGAAAUGCGUAGAGAUGUGGAGGAACACCAGUGGCGAAGGCGGCUUCCUGGCCUGUAACUGACGCUGAGGCGCGAAAGCGUGGGGAGCAAACAGGAUUAGAUACCCUGGUAGUCCACGCCGUAAACGAUGAGUGCUAAGUGUUAGGGGGUUUCCGCCCCUUAGUGCUGCAGCUAACGCAUUAAGCACUCCGCCUGGGGAGUACGGCCGCAAGGCUGAA